rnacentral:rRNA from 1 species
UGUAAGUUAGUGGCGGACGGGUGAGUAACGCGUGGGUAACCUGCCUUGUACUGGGGGACAACAGUUGGAAACGGCUGCUAAUACCGCAUAAGCGCACAGUACCGCAUGGUACGGUGUGAAAAACUCCGGUGGUAUGAGAUGGACCCGCGUCUGAUUAGGUAGUUGGUGGGGUAACGGCCUACCAAGCCGACGAUCAGUAGCCGACCUGAGAGGGUGACCGGCCACAUUGGGACUGAGACACGGCCCAA